CAUGCCUUUGAUGACACAGUGAUGAAAAGCAUCAUUUCAUUAAAGAAAAGCUUUUACAAAAUUUGGUCGGUCCAGUAUAAAAAUACCUCAACAGAUGUUGAUGUCUACAAAAUAGACCGACCUAUGUCAAGCUCGAACAUGCCUGAGCUAAGUUACAAAAAGGCUUAAGCUCCAUCAGGAGCACGGGACUCGCCGGCCUCUGCAUGGUCAGAGAGGACGAUGAUGGCUGGUGCUGGAGCUAGCGCCACUUCCUCGGUCAGUGGAUCCUCACGAGCUGGG
rnacentral:lncRNA from 1 species